ACUUGUUCGCAGUCCUGUCUUCGAAUCGAUUGACUUUUCUUCAGAUUCUAAUCUCUGCUAAAUAUAAAACUACGUUGGAAAACUUCGCAGCCCUGUCUCCGAAUCAACUGUGACUUCCUCCAUAUUCUAAUAUUCUGCUGAAAAAUGAGACGGAAUCUCUUGGAAUAUAAAACGAUGGGAAACUGCACGAAAGGAUCAUUCAUCGUUGGAUUUCUUUACUACGAAUGCGACGAAUACGAGAUGGUUGGCUCAAAAUGAGUGCUGUUGCGAUUUAUUAAAUUGAUGCUGUUACAAACAAUGGGAAGAGAAGAGAGGUGAAAAGCAGGCUUGACAAUUUUGUGAAGAGGAGGAGGCUCAAGAAAAGCAAUGGAUCAAUUUUACAAAUCAUGUAACGUGCACAUAGCUGAUAACUCCACUGCUGUGCAUCAAUCGGUCUUCUUUUAUUGGUACGCAGUCACCGGUCGCGAUCAAGCUAUUAGCCAGUUAGUGAAGAUGCAGUAAACUAUAAUGGAGACUUCGCACGGCUCUGUACUACUGAGAGGUUGGGGCAUCGGUGAGUGACAAAAAUUUUAUCAGGUAACGAAUCUGUAUAAAAUGUACAGAUCUAUCAUUAUAUUAGAAAUGAAUAUAACGCUUUAUAGACCCAUUACUUGAAAAUGAAU